AGCAAUAACUAGGGGUGUCCAAUGAGUUGGGCUGAGAGAAAAGCACGUUGAAGCUUUUUGACCCUCAGGACCUGAUCUAGUUCAUACUAGCGUAGGGAAGUUCAUGCAGUUACUA
rnacentral:ncRNA from 2 species